AGCCCAAACCGGUAGCGUUUCGGCGAUACCGGGGUCAUGGGACCACGCCAUUCGAAACAAGAUGAAGUGCAAUUACCUGGAAAGGUAAGCCGCGGAGGGUGAUAGCCCCGUGCACGUCAAUUCUUGUGGAGAUAGUGGAAUCCCGAGUAGGGCGGGACACGAGAAAUCCUGCCUGAAUUCGCCAGGACCUCCUGGCAAGGCUAAAUACUCCCGAGAGACCGAUAGUGAACCAGUACCGCGAGGGAAAGGUGAAAAGUACCCCGAGCAGGGGGGUGAAAUAGACCCUGAACCCGCGCGCCUACAAGCGGUCGGAGCUGCCUUGUGCAGUGACGGCGUGCCUUUUGCAUAAUGAGCCUACGAGUUAGUCGUCACCAGCGAGGUUAAGGGCUUCAGGCCCGUAAGCCGAAGUGAAAGCGAGCCUUAACAGGGCGUUAAGUUGGUGGCGCUAGACGCGAAACCUUGUGAUCUACCCACGAGCAGGUUGAAGUCGCGGUAACACGUGAUGGAGGACCGAACCGGUAAACGUUGAAAAGUUUUCGGAUGACUCGCGGGUAGGGGUGAAAGGCCAAUCAAACUGGGAAAUAGCUCGUACUCUCCGAAAUGCAUUUCGGUGCAGCCUGUGAUGUUCUGUUCCAGAGGUAGAGCUACUGGUUGGACGCGAGGGCUUCACCGCCUAUCAAAUCCGGAUAAACUCCGAAUGCUGGAACACGAAAUCAUGGAGUGAGCCCGCGGGUGCUAAGGUCCGCGGACGAGAGGGAAAGAACCCGGACCACCGGCUAAGGUCCCGGAUGGACAGUUAAGUUGAUCAAACGAGGUGGGAUCGCUGAGACAGCUAGGAUGUUGGCUUGGAAGCAGCCAUUCAUUUAAAGAGUGCGUAACAGCUCACUAGUCGAGCGAUCCCGCGUGGAUAAUACACGGGCAUUAAACUGUCAACCGAAGCCGUGGGGUCAGCGAAAAGCUGACCGGUAGGAGAGCAUUCCUGCCAGCGUUGAAGGUCACCCGCGAGAGUGACUGGAGCGGCAUGAAAAGCAAAUGUAGGCAUAAGUAACGAUAAUGGGGGCGAGAACCCCCCACGCCGCAAGACCAAGGCUUCCCCGGCAAUGUCAAUCAGCCGGGGGUCAGCCGGCCUCUAAGGCUAACCCGAACGGGGAUGCCGACGAGAAACGGGUUAACAUUCCCGUGCUUCUCGUCACCGUGACGCGGUGACGGGGUGAUGAAUGGACCGCGCGCUGACGGAAUAGCGCGUUGAAGGCCGUACCCUUCGAGGGUGGUAGUCAAGCACGCCACCCGAGGCGAUAGCCGAUAGUACCACGAGACUCCGGUCGAGUGGAUAGCGUCCAGGCAAUUUACCCCCGAGAAAACCCGCUAAACUUCAAGUGACGAGGAACCGUACUGUAAACGGACACACGUGGUCGGGUAGAACAUACCAAGGCGCUCGAGUGAUUCAUGGUCAAGGAACUAGGCAAAAUAGUCCUGUAACUUCGGGAAAAAGGACGCUCUAGUGAUAGAGCCGCAGAGAAUAGGCCCAGGCGACUGUUUACCAAAAACACAUGGCUAUGCCAAAUCGAAAGAUGACGUAUAUGGCCUGACACCUGCCCGGUGCCGGAAGGUUAAGAGGAGAGCUCAUCCGCGAGGAGAAGGUUUGAAUUGAAGCCCCGGUAAACGGCGGCCGUAACUAUAACGGUCCUAAGGUAGCGAAAUUCCUUGUCGGGUAAGUUCCGACCUGCACGAAUGGUGUAACGAUCUGGGCACUGUCUCGACCAUGAGCUCGGUGAAAUUGUAGUUCCGGUGAAGAUGCCGGGUACCCGCGACGGGACGGAAAGACCCCGUGAACCUUUACUGCAGCUUCGCGUUGUUCCCGGGCACGGGACGUGUAGGAUAGGUCGGAGGCUACGAUUCGGUUUCGCCAGGAAUCGAGGAGCCAUCGUUGAAAUACGACCCUUCUCUUGUCUGGGAUCUAACCCUAGGUACAGGGGACACCGCGUGGUGGGUAGUUUGACUGGGGUGGUCGCCUCCAAAAGCGUAACGGAGGCUUCCAAAGGUACCCUCGGGUUGGUUGGUAAUCAACCUCAGAGUGCAAUGGCACAAGGGUGCUUGACCGGGAGACCAACGAGUCGAUCGGGUGCGAAAGCAGGGCAUAGUGAUCCGGUGAUCCCGCGUGGAAGGGUCAUCGCUCAAAGGAUAAAAGGUACUCCGG
rnacentral:rRNA from 1 species